rnacentral:rRNA from 1 species
UAAGGAAUAUUGGUCAAUGGACGCAAGUCUGAACCAGCCAUGCCGCGUGAAGGAUUAAGGUCCUCUGGAUUGUAAACUUCUUUUUAUCUGGGACGAAAAAAGGCGAUUCUUCGUCACUUGACGGUACCAGAUGAAUAAGCACCGGCUAACUCCGUGCCAGCAGCCGCGGUAAUACGGAGGGUGCAAGCGUUAUCCGGAUUCACUGGGUUUAAAGGGUGCGUAGGCGGGCAGGUAAGUCAGUGGUGAAAUCCUGGAGCUUAACUCCAGAACUGCCAUUGAUACUAUCUGUCUUGAAUAUUGUGGAGGUAAGCGGAAUAUGUCAUGUAGCGGUGAAAUGCUUAGAUAUGACAUAGAACACCUAUUGCGAAGGCAGCUUACUACGCAUAUAUUGACGCUGAGGCACGAAAGCGUGGGGAUCAAACAGGAUUAGAUACCCUGGUAGUCCACGCCCUAAACGAUGGAUACUCGACAUACGCGAUACACUGUGUGUGUCUGAGCGAAAGCAUUAAGUAUCCCCACCUGGGGAAGUACGACCGCAAGGUUGAAACUCAAAUGAAUUGACGGGGUCAUAGCUGUUUCCUG